GACGAACGCUGGCGACGUGCUUAACACAUGCAAGUCGAACGGAAAGGCCCUGCUUUUGUGGGGUGCUCGAGUGGCGAACGGGUGAGUAACACGUGAGUAACCUGCCCUUGACUUUGGGAUAACUUCAGGAAACUGGGGCUAAUACCGGAUAGGAGCUCCUGCUGCAUGGUGGGGGUUGGAAAGUUUCGGCGGUUGGGGAUGGACUCGCGGCUUAUCAGCUUGUUGGUGGGGUUGUGGCUUACCAAGGCUUUGACGGGUAGCCGGCCUGAGAGGGUGACCGGCCACAUUGGGACUGAGAUACGGCCGAGACUCCUACGGGAAGCAGCAGUGGGGAAUAUUGCACAAUGGGCGGAAGCCUGAUGCAGCAACGCAGCGUGCGGGAUGACGGCCUUCGGGUUGUAAACCGCUUUCGCCUGUGACGAAGCGUGAGUGACGGUAAUGGGUAAAGAAGCACCGGCUAACUACGUG
rnacentral:rRNA from 1 species